AAAGAUUAAGCCAUGCAUGUCUAAGUAUAAACGAUUUAAUCGUGAAACCGCGAAUGGCUCAUUAUAACAGCUAUAAUUUACUUGAUCUUGACACAAUCCUACUUGGAUAACUGUGGUAAUUCUAGAGCUAAUACAUGCAUUAAAGCUCUGACCUCACGGGAAGAGUGCAUUUAUUAGAACAAAACCAAGCGGCUUCGGCUGUUUCUGGUUGACUCAUAGUAACUGAGCUGAUCGCAUGGUCUUGCACCGGCGACGUGUCUUUCAAGUAUCUGCCGUAUCAACUUUCGAUGGUAGUGUAUCUGACUACCAUGGUGAUCACGCGUAACGGAGAAUAAGGGUUCGGCUCCGGAGAGUUCGCCUGAGAAAUCGCGAACACAUCUAAGGAAGGCAGCAGGCGCGAAAAUUACCCACUCUCAGCACGAGGAGGUAGUGACGAAAAAUAACGAGACCGUUCUCUUAUGAGGCCGGUCAUCGGAAUGGGUACAAUUUAAACCCU
rnacentral:rRNA from 1 species